CAGCAGUUAAGGUACAAGCAUUAGGGAAAAUGGAUUUCAUUUGCUGUCCCGGGCUGGUGCGGGGGUGGUGGGAGCGGUUACUGAGGGAGGACCUUCAGAUGACUGAUGUGUUUUUGGAGAACCGCAGAACUGCUGGCUGGCGUAGAGAGAGCAGGGUUGCAAUGUUGUGCAAUGCUGUUUGUCUGUGUGAAGCUGGCAUGGCCCCCGUUUCUCUGCUCCUCUGCAUCUGGUCGUCAUUACGUAAGGAGGGGAGGGUAUAAAGCAGGGUGCUGACGGGGCUGGGCCCCAGUGCCUGGACCAUCAUGGAGGCUGCUCUUUGGGUGUGCCUAAGUUUUCUCUGUCUGCAGGGCAGCUUGCUCCAGUUCACACAUGGUGCAGACUGUACUGGGACAUCACAGGGGAAGAACUGUGUCAGCGGGCAGACCACCGGAGGAAAGAAUGCAGGGCUUGUGCGCCGGAUGCCAUCUGCUGCAAGAAAGACCCAUAACCAUAAACAGCCACAGAUGUGGCUAGAUGACAUGCCAUCGGAUGUGCCAUUGGACAGACAGAAGAGACAGUUGGGAAGGAACUCCCUCCUUCCUGGGUCCUUCUCAGCCAAGGGCUUCCCCAACACACUCAUCAAUGUUCAGACAGAGCGGGCCAGGAGACACCUAGGCCAGUCUGGGACUAAGAAGAACAAGUAUAAAUCCAGAGUGGGAUCCUUCUCUCUCCUCAGCAACAACAACCCCAGUGCCUCCCUACAGGUAACCAGAGUACGGAGGCAGGUGCAGAAUGAGAGGAAGAAGGCGAAGCCAAAAGGACGACCCGGAGCGUAUUCCUUAAUUUUACGACCCGCCGCACCCCAAACAAUCCCCCUGAGGACAGAGAUGCAAGAGGAGCGCACAGAAGAAAAAACAGGAUUGUUUGUUCCUAAAAACAUUUAA
rnacentral:lncRNA from 8 species